rnacentral:lncRNA from 1 species
CUGGGGUCACCACUGGGGCCACCAUCGGGACCACUAUUGGGAACAGCAUUGAGGUCACUAUUGGGCCACCAUCGGGGUCACCAUUUGGGCCACCAUUGGGGUCACCACUGGGGCUACUAUUGGAGCCACCAUUGGGACCACCAUGGGGGCCACCAUCAGGAGCACCAUUGGGGCCACCAUUGGGGUCACUAUCGGGCCACCAUCGGGGUCACCAUUGGGGCCACCAUUGAGACCCCUAUUGGGGCCACCAUUGGGACAACUUUGGGGUCACCAUUGGGGCCACCAUCAGGAACACUAUUGGGAACAGCAUUGAGGUCAUUGUCGGGCCACCAUUAGGAUCACCAUUGGGGCCACCAUUGGGGCCACCAUUAAGACUCCUAUUGGGGUCGCCAUUGGGGCCACCAUCAGGACCAUUAUUGGGAACACCGUUGAGGUCACUAUCAGGCCACCAUCGGGGUCACCACUGGGGCCGCCAUUGGGGCCACCAUCGGGACCACUAUUGGGGCCACCAUUGGGGCCACCAUCGGGGCCACCAUCAGGACCACUAUUGGGGCCACCAUCAGGACCACUAUUAGGAACACCAUCGGGGCCACCAUCAGGACCACUAUUGGGGCCACCAUCGGGGCCACCAUCAGGACCAGUAUUGGGGUCACCAUUGGGGCCUCCAUUCCGGCCACCACUGUGGACCCCGCUGUCCCCCCCACCCCGCAGCCAUGCAGGUUUCUGGCUACCUGAACCUGGCGGCCGACGUGGCUCACAACGUGACGGACGGUCUGGCCAUCGGGGCGUCCUUCGUGGCCGGCCCGGCCGUGGGGACGGUGACGGCGUUGACGGUGCUCCUCCACGAGGUCCCGCACGAGGUCGGCGACCUCGCCAUCUUGGUGCAGUCGGGCUGUAGCAAGAAGCAGGUGAGAGCCCCCCCUCCUGGGG